rnacentral:rRNA from 1 species
UCGGAACGUGCCCAAUCUGGGGGAUAACGCAGCGAAAGCUGUGCUAAUACCGCAUACGAUCUACGGAUGAAAGCAGGGGAUCGCAAGACCUUGCGCGAAUGGAGCGGCCGAUGGCAGAUUAGGUAGUUGGUGAGGUAAAGGCUCACCAAGCCUUCGAUCUGUAGCUGGUCUGAGAGGACGACCAGCCACACUGGGACUGAGACACGGCCCAG